AUACAUAGAAUAUAAUUACCCCCUUUAUAUAGCCUUCAUAGACUACUCGAAAGCCUUCGAUAGCAUUACACAUAGCUCUAUCUGGCAAGCUCUGAAAACAAGUAAAAUCAACAAAACAUACAUAAACAUCCUAAUAAACAUUUAUAGCCAAAGUGUAAGCCGAGUGAAAAUGGAAAGGAAAGGAGAGGAGAUAGCUAUAGGCAAAGGUGUCCGACAAGGAGACCCACUCUCGCCGAAAUUGUUUAUAGCAGUACUAGAAGAAGUUUUUAAGAACAUACAGUGGAAGAAUAAAGGAAUCAGUAUACUUGAUAAACGUCUGACCCAUCUACGCUUUGCAGAUGAUAUUAUAAUCUUUGCAGAAUCUGCGACCCAACUAGAAGACAUGAUAGAUACCCUUGACAAGGAGAGCAAGAAAGUAGGACUGCACAUGAAUACAUCUAAGACAAAAGCUAUGACCAACAGUCGAAGAAAAAUAAUUAAUGUGGCAGGGACUGAAAUUGAUUAUGUUAAUGAAUAAAAAAUUAAGUGGACAGACGCAUAAACACAGCAUGGAAAAGGUUUUGGUCCCAGAAGGAAAUCUUGAAAGGCGAAUACAGCAUAGCCCAUAAGAAAAUCGUAAUGGACACCGACACCUGUAUCCUGCCUAGUCUAACUUACGGAAGCCAAACUUGGACAUUCACAAAUAAAGUACGUCAAGCUAUAAGGACCUGUCAGAGAUCUAUGGAGAGAAGUAUAUUAAAUAUAAGGAAAAUACAGAAAAUUAGAAGCGAAAUAAUACGUCAAAAGACCAAACUUACAGAUGCUCUCCAACAAACUCUUCAUCUAAAAUGGCAAUGGGCAGGUCAUGUAUCCAGAUAU